rnacentral:rRNA from 1 species
AACGAACGCUGGCGGCGUGCCUAACACAUGCAAGUCGUGCGAGAAAGUUCCUUCGGGAGCGAGUAAAGCGGCGCACGGGUGAGUAACACGUAGGUAACCUGCCCCCCAGUCUGGAACAACUAGAGGAAACUCUAGCUAAUGCCGGAUGAGACCAUGAUCCCUUCGGGGUUGCGGCCAAAGAUGGCCUCUACUUGUAAGCUAUCGCUGAGGGAUGGGCCUGCGGCCAUUAGCUUGUUGGUGAGGUAACGGCUCACCAAGGCUAGUGAUGGCUAGCUGGUCUGAGAGGAUGACCAGCCA